AUGAAUGUUUAAGAAUAACACAUAUGCAUGAAAUGGUGGCUUAAUUUUCCUCCACAAGUAUAAGUGAAAACGUGGGCUUAAGUGAAAGUAAAAACGUGGUUUAACUUUCUACACAAAUGGAAGUGAAAAUGUGGUCUCCUAAUUGUCCACACAAAUCAUUCAAACUCUCCUAUAAAUAGCAACCAUCUCCUCACUAAUUCUUCACACCAGCUCUGCUCUCCCUCUCUGCAUACAAUUGAAGUGUCCUAGAUGAAGGUGAUUGCUCGAGUUAUUUUGGAAAGCUUCGAGUUAGUGCAGGAUUCUAAGGCCUCAAGUUGAAGUUCAUUGAGAAAAGGAAAACGUGAUUGUGAGAGACAUUAAUUAUAAUACAAGGACCGUUAGUGUUGAUUAGUGAUCUAGUUUAUUUUUGGAGUCCGAAGAGAAAGAUCUCUUUGA